GGGCCCGUAGUCUAGCGGUAGGAUGCCCAGGGACGGUAGUCCCGCAUUUGCCUCACGAGUAAUAUAGGCACGGAGAACGCGGGAGAUCCCGGGUUCGAAUCCCGGCGGGCCCA
rnacentral:tRNA from 1 species